GACGAACGCUGGCGGCGUGCUUAACACAUGCAAGUCGAACGAAGAGCGAUGGAAGCUUGCUUCUAUCAAUCUUAGUGGCGAACGGGUGAGUAACGCGUAAUCAACCUGCCCUUCAGAGGGGGACACCAGUAGGAAACGACUGCUAAUACUGCAUACGAUUUAAUCUCGGCAUCGAGGAUAGAUGAAAGGUGGCCUCUACAUGUAAGCCAUCAUUGAAGGUGGGGGGUGCGUCUGUUGAGUACGUUGGCGCGGGAACGGCCCACCAAGGUGAUGAUCAGUAGCCGGUCUGCUAUGAUGGACAGCCAGACUGGGAGUGUGACACGGCACAGACUCCUAGAGGUGGCAGCAGUGGGGAUUCGUCCGCCAUGGGCGAAGGACUGACCGAGCAACGCCGAGUGCGUGAUGACGACCGUCGGGUUGUAAAGCUCUGUUAACCGGGACGAAAGGCCUUCUUGCUAAUACUAAGAAGGAUUGACGGUACCGGAAUAGAAAGCCACGGCUAACUACGUG
rnacentral:rRNA from 1 species